UUUAGAGUUUGAUUCCUGGCUCAGGACGAACGCUGGCGGCGGGCUUAACACAUGCAAGUCGCAGGGGAUUCAGGGGGCUUGCUCCCUGAUGAGACUGGCGCACGGGUGAGUAACACGUAAGCAAUCUGCCUACAGGAGGGGGAUAACUUCGGGAAACCGGAGCUAAUACCGCAUAAUGCAGCGGGGCCGCAUGGCCACAGUUGUUAAAGCCUUUCGGGGCGCCUGUAGAUGAGCUUGCGUUGCAUUAGCUAGUUGGUGGGGUAACGGCCUACCAAGGCUAUGAUGCAUAGGGGGUGUGAGAGGAUGAUCCCCCACACUGGAACUGAGACACGGUCCAGACUCCUACGGGAGGCAGCAGUGAGGAAUAUUGCGCAAUGGAGGAAACUCUGACGCAGCCACGCCGCGUGCCGGAAGACGGUCCUAUGGAUUGUAAACGGCUUUUGCCAGGGAAGAACCGACUGAUUUCGAUCGGUCCUGACGUACCUGGGAAUAAGCACCGCAA
rnacentral:rRNA from 1 species